GUUUUGAGAGUGGAGCUCCUUGAAGUCCAACAGAGGAUCUAACAGGUAAGAUUGAGCUGCUGACCUAUGGAUUCCUCAGUCCUAUCUAUUAUUUGAUUGGAUAGGUUUGUGGGUUGCAUAUGUCAGGAGCUUCAUUGCCCUAAGUUGGAUCCCUUUUUGGAUUGAAGGGAGCUCUACAUUCAUUUAAC
rfam:Nicotiana attenuata strain TT chromosome 3, whole genome shotgun sequence.